rnacentral:rRNA from 1 species
CCUACGGGAGGCAGCAGUGAGGAAUAUUGGUCAAUGGACGAGAGUCUGAACCAGCCAAGUAGCGUGAAGGAUGACUGCCCUAUGGGUUGUAAACUUCUUUUAUAUGGGAAUAAAAUGUUCCACGUGUGGGAUUUUGUAUGUACCAUAUGAAUAAGGAUCGGCUAACUCCGUGCCAGCAGCCGCGGUAAUACGGAGGAUCCGAGCGUUAUCCGGAUUUAUUGGGUUUAAAGGGAGCGUAGGUGGAUUGUUAAGUCAGUUGUGAAAGUUUGCGGCUCAACCGUAAAAUUGCAGUUGAAACUGGCAGUCUUGAGUACAGUAGAGGUGGUCGGAAUUCGUGGUGUAGCGGUGAAAUGCUUAGAUAUCACGAAGAACUCCGAUUGCGAAGGCAGUUCACUGGACUGCAACUGACACUGAGGCUCGAAAGUGUGGGUAUCAAACAGGAUUAGAUACCCCUGUAGUC